UACGUAGGUGGCAAGCGUUGUCCGGAUUUACUGGGCGUAAAGAGCGCGCAGGCGGUCGUUCAAGUCGCGUGUGAAAGCCCCCGGCUCAACUGGGGAGGGUCACGCGAUACUGAUCGACUCGAAGGCAGGAGAGGGUAGUGGAAUUCCCGGUGUAGUGGUGAAAUGCGUAGAUAUCGGGAGGAACACCCGUAGCGAAGGCGGCACUCUGGGCCGGUACUGACGCUGAGGAGCGAAAGCGUGGGGAGCGAACAGG
rnacentral:rRNA from 1 species